AGCAGCCGCGGUAAUUCCAGCUCCAAUAGCGUAUAUUAAAGUUGUUGCAGUUAAAAAGCUCGUAGUUGAAUUUCGGGGUCAGUAGGUUGGUCGUGCCUACGGUAUGUACUGGCUUUACUGAUUCCUCCUUCUUGAAGAACUGUAAUGUCAUUAAUUUGGUGUUGCAGGGAAACAGGACUGUUACUUUGAAAGAAUUAGAGUGUUUAAAGCAGGCUAACGCUUGAAUACAUUAGCAUGGAAUAAUGAAAUAGGACGUUUGAUCCUAUUUUGUUGGUUUCUAGGAUUGACGUAAUGAUUAAUAGGGAUAGUUGGGGGCAUUAGUAUUCAAUUGUCAGAGGUGAAAUUCUUGGAUUUAUUGAAGACUAACUACUGCGAAAGCUUUUGCCAAGGAUGUUUUCAUUAAUCAAGAACGAAAGUUAGGGGAUCGAAGACGAUCAGAUACCGUCGUAGUCUUAACCAUAAACUAUGCCGACUAGGGAUCGGAUGAUGUUAAUUUUUUAAUGACUCAUUCGGCGCCUUACGG
rnacentral:rRNA from 1 species